rnacentral:tRNA from 21 species
GCGGCCAUGGCGGAAUUGGUAGACGCGCUAGCUUGAGGUGCUAGUCCCGAGAGGGGUGGAGGUUCGAGUCCUCUUGGCCGCACCA